CUCCGACUGGCGUUACAUGGGAAAGACAGGGAAAUGCUGUGAAGCUGUCAGGCCCACCUGAGCCAUGGGGCACCCUGUGUCCCUUCCACUGGCUGCUCCCUCCCUCCUCCCUCAGCACGCCUUCUCCUGGGCUCCUGCUUCACAGGGCCAAGGUCCUAGAGGAGUUACAGCAUUUGGCCUCCAAGCACGCCAACCUGGUCAUCAUCCCGCUUGAAGUCACCGACCCCACCAGCAUCCAGGCAGCUGCAGGCAGAGUCAGGGAGCACCUGAAGGACUCUGGGCUGAACCUCCUCAUCAACAAUGCUGGCAUUGCAAAUCCAAGCUCUUUGGAUACUGAGACUGUGGAGAACAUGUCCCAGGUGUA